UACAGAGGUCUCAAGCGUUGUUCGGAUUCAUUGGGCGUAAAGGGUGUGUAGGUGGCGCCGGUAAGUCGGGUGUGAAAUUCGAUGGCUUAACUCCGAAACUGCAUUCGAUACUGCGUGCUUGAGGACUGGAGAGGAGACUGGAAUUCAUGGUGUAGCAGUGAAAUGCGUAGAGAUCAUGAGGAAGACCAGUGGCGAAGGCGGGUCUCUGGACAGUUCCUGACGCUGAGGCACGAAGGCCAGGGGAGCAAACGGG
rnacentral:rRNA from 1 species